AUGGGAGGCAACAACAGGCAGAAAAAAUCCUCCUUCUCAUUCUUCAGCUUGUUCAAAUCGAGGAGGCCUCGCAGAGGAGAUGACAUGGGGGAGGAUUUGUAUAUGAGUGCAAGAAGGGUGUGGAUUAGUGAGGAGGACAGAGGUGGGUGGGUAGCUGAGCCCGGCAUCGACAACAAAGCUAGUGCUUUCAUUGACAGAAUCCACAAGUGCAUUGUCUCAGAAUCUGAUUGCCAAACCUUAACUGUAAACCCUGCUGGAAAGUCCUAA
rnacentral:lncRNA from 1 species